rnacentral:rRNA from 1 species
ACGAACGCUGGCGGCGUGCCUAACACAUGCAAGUCGAACGAAGCUCCUGAUCAGAUCUUCGGAUGAAGUGAAGGAAGACUUAGUGGCGGACGGGUGAGUAACGCGUGAGCAACCUGCCUUCAGAGGGGGAUAACAGUUGGAAACGACUGCUAAUACCGCAUAACAUAUUGGAGUCGCAUGGCUCUGAUAUCAAAGCUGAGGCGCUGAGAGAUGGGCUCGCGUCCGAUUAGAUAGUUGGUGGGUAACGGCCUACCAAGUCGACGAUCGGUAGCCGGACUGAGAGGUUGAACGGCCACAUUGGGACUGAGACACGGCCCAGACUCCUACGGGAGGCAGCAGUGGGGGAUAUUGCACAAUGGGGGAAACCCUGAUGCAGCGACGCCGCGUGAGUGAAGAAGUAUUUCGGUAUGUAAAGCUCGAUCGGCAGGGAAGAAAGGCCCCGCAAGGGGAGAUGACGGUACCUGCAGUGAAGCCCCGGCUAACUACGUGCCAGCAGCCGC